GACUAGGGUAUUGGUCAGUGGUAAAGUGCUUGCCUAGCAUGCAAGAGGUCCUGGGUUUAAUCCCCAACACUGGACA
rnacentral:tRNA from 1 species